rnacentral:rRNA from 1 species
CACGGGUUUAAUUUUGGCCCAGUUCUAACACUGUCCAGCGGCUAGACAUGCUAGUCCGACGAGGGCCCAGUGCCCUAGUGGCCCACAGGUGAGUAAUGCUGCGAUUAGGAAACGUGAUUCCGCUGGAGAUCAGCGACCGAAGGGUUGUACCCGAAUCACUACCGUCGCAGUCGGAGUAGGCAGUCGGUGUGGUAACGGCGCACCGAGCCAAUGAUCCGUAGCCGGCUUGAAAGAGCGCAUGGCCACAACGGAGACGUCGUAGCUCCGUCAUGCUUCCACAGCAUGCAGCAGUCGGUAACCUUGGUCAAUGCUCGCAAGAGUGAACCAGCCAGCUGGAAUCGGGUCGGGGCUCACUCCGCCCGACGACGAGGCAGUCACGUACGGUUAAACCCGUGCCGAGACAACGCCUCGGAGCAGUCCUUGACAAAUCUGGUGCCAGCAUCAGCGGUAAUACCAGUAGGGCCAGUGUAGAACGCUUUGACUAGGCGUAAAGCGUCCGCAGGCUGCUUGACCACCACCAAACUAUUUGGCGGCCGGGUCGGCUCGAAUCGAAUCAGAGCUCGGAGCAUGCUGAGUGUAGGGCUGAAAUCCAUUGAUACUCAGACGACUACCAAGAGCGAAAGCACCGAGCUGGGUAACGAUUGACGCUCAGGGACGACAGCGUGGGGAGCGAAACGGAUUAGAUACCCGAGUAGUCCACGCCGUAAACGAUGUUCGCUCGGCAGUGGUGCAACGUGCAUCACUGUCAACGCUAGCGCAUUUAGCGAACCGCCUGCAUAGUACAGCCUCUCGGCAGAAACGCAAAAAAUUAGACCGUGGGCUGGCAAACGGAGUGAAGCAUGUUAUUUAAUUUGAUAACCCUCAGAUCAUCUCACUUGCUCUUGCAUGCGGCGAGUUCGACGUCGAUUUUCGGCUCGAAUUUGCCAGCACAGGUGUUGCAUGGCUGUCGUCAGUUCGUGCCUUGUGGUGUACGGUUGAGUCCACUAACGAACGCAAGCCGGCUCCGUAGAAAAUACCUACGGUGUCUCACAGUUAGCGCUGUGACUUCCGGGCUAUGACUAGUCCUCAUGACCCUUAUGAGCAAGGCAAUAGACGUGCCACACCACUGACUACAAUGCGACGCGACCACACCGAAAAAAACAAACGGUAACGUGUGAGCUAACCGCCGAACUGUCAGUGAGUCUGGAUCGCUGGCUGCAACUCGCCAGCGUGAAAUAGGAAUUCCGAGUAAUCGCGCAACAGCACGGCGCGGUGAAACUGCUUCCAGCCCGGGCACUGACCGCUCGUCACGACCGACAAGAAAAAAGCUAGCGAAACAGCCUAACGGAGUCGCUGCCGAAUCAGCGGAGUCGCGCCAGUACUGCUGGCUGCACCGCGACGGCAGAGA